rnacentral:lncRNA from 1 species
CCUGAUAUCUCCACCGCCCACGGCCUCGCCUUGUCCCAACUACAAAAGCGAACCCAAUCCCUCUUGACUCCUCUCAUCCGCCUCGUCUAACCACCACCACGAGGGAGAGUUAAAGUCGCCAGUACAGAAGAGUGAAGGGGAGAGGGUUGCUGGGUCCGAUUCGGUGGGCUCAUCGCCGUCGGGUCCACGAAUUGGUGCCUAGGAGUCUCGCGUGCUUCGGGGACAUAAUCGAUGGUCUCGCUGCGGUGGGUUGGUGGCUGGAGACCUCAGAAUUCGUCGUCAUAGUGCGAGCUCCUCCGCGUGUGCACCGUGCGCCGUGGCCAGGGGUGUCUGCGCUGCAAUUGCCAGGCAUACAAGAUGACGAUGGUAUGAAGACUAUCUCAUUUCCAAAAAGCUUUGUGCAGAGCAACUAGUGCAAUGCAAGUGUUUGGUGCUUUUGGUUGAUAGAAGCUGCUGGAUGCUUUUGGUAUUUUUGAAAGAUGCAAGUCGUGCUUCUGGUUGAUACUUAGAAGUUGGUGGUUCAAAACUGAAAAACCUGUCAGGCUGUCACUUGCUUUUGGUUUCUUGUCAAACUGCUGGGCGCCUGAACACUGCUGUGCACCGUACGUCAGGCUGUCCUCAUGCAUCUGUUAACAGAUCUUUUGUCCUCUGCUGCUUAGACUGCUUUAUGAAAUUUGAAAUGUGAUGAGACUUAUGCCUUAUGGUGACUGGUGAUAGCUUAUUAGAUUAGAGUAUCAUACUUUUGGUCAUGGUCUUAUGGAAUAUGGAAUGUGAUGGGAUCAUUGGACCGCAUGGUAUGGGUCAUGGAUGUGUAAAUAAAUUAUAAUUUCAUUAUUUCAUCUCUCGUCUAUUAAGUAUUAACAGUUUAUUA